rnacentral:misc_RNA from 1 species
UCCUGAAUGAAACUUUAUUCAAUCGGAUCGGAACAAUCCCCUUUCAUUGGAAUAGCGCGAUUUCAUUUCUGCAAUGGCUCUCGUCGCAACUCGUUGCGCACGGGCUAUGUCGGGCUACGCGUACGCGGCAGGCAAUACCAGGCAGCGCGGAAAAGGUUCCCGAUUCCUGGACGAUACCCCACCCUUUCGUUACGCCUCUAUCUACCGCCUCGCCACCUGUGUACGGGUCGAACGAGAAUGGGACCAGGACCCGCAGGCUGAUACGAGAGUUGAAAAAGGAACGGUAGUGAGAGUCCAAGUCGGGAGGGAAAGGAUUCCGAGCGCGCGCGCGCGCGCGCUCGCGCGGCCGAUGCCGAUGCCGCUUGAACGCGGGCACUUGGAUGUGAAAGAUUCGAUCGAUCAACGGUACGUGUAAUAUUAUGGCGAUGAAACUUUAACUAAAAAGGAGAAAAAGAGGAAAUAAGAGCGAGAGAAAAAGAAAUGGAAGACAAAGGGCAGUAACGAGCAACAAGAAGUGAGAGAUGUGACAACUUUUUGUGCAGUGGAUCGAUUAUCGCUCCGAUUGGAUAAUAAGGAAAGAAGAAAGAGAAUUGGCUUCCAAGGCAAAGCGAAACUCUCUCUCUUUCUCUAUCGAGCAAAUUGGACGUCUCUCUUCGUACAAAUGUUCCGGAGAGUGUUGUUUGAAUCCGCAAGACUUUGUAAUUAUGAGACAAUCGAUACUCGUUAUCGCGUGCUGCUUUUUGGGCUUUGUCUUAGCGGGAAGUCCUAGAUUACCACGAACAUCCGCCGAUCAGCGCAGCACACGUAGCGCGAACCAUAAUAGCACCGGCGCUACGCUACAAUCGUCUUCUCGCAAUUUGCAACGAAAUAGAGAACAAUAUCUUUUCAAUGUUUUCGAAGUAAUAGUAUCAACUUUAGAGUCCAAGUUGCAACGAAUCGAGAAUUUAGAUAAGGCGGUGGAACACUUGAUGAGAAGAGUAGAAGCUUUAGAUUCGCGCGUAAAUGAUAAUAUCGAUAAAACGGAUGCGGUUAUUACUAAACUCAGAACGUUAGAUCUGAAACUUUUCAAUGCGUACCCUAUUAUGUCAACGGAAGCUAUUCACGCAGCGAGAAUUACCGAAAAUAAAAGCCAAGAUUACACCGAGGAUACUCCGCUGAUACGUAUAAUUCAUCAUGAUCAAAAUCAUCGGACUCCUGAAACGCUCGGUGAAAAGUUGGUCUCCUUGGAUCAAAAAGUUUCCGAUAUCGAUCAUAAGCUUGUUAAUCUGAAAAAUCAGCUCGACAACAAUUUCUUACAAAAUGAUGAUAUAAAUGCUGAGGCGAGCGAAAAGAAACCUGUCAGUAUGAGUGUCAUCGAAAUUACUAAAGCUAUGAGUAACGAAGUGAUGAACCAUAUGACGAUUGAAAUUGAGAAUCUUAGGCAAGCGACAGGUAGUAUGGAUCGAAAACUUCAAUUCCACAUGAACUUGGUGUCGGAUAAUCUCGGGGCGUUAUAUAAUAUGGUUACCGAUGUGCACGAGGCUAUUGUCGAGAAAAAUUACGGAAAUGAUCGACAAAAUCAUCUCAAUCUAACAACGACCGAAGCUCCAACGAAGCAGAGUAAAAUUGAUCGUCUUGUCGAACAAAUGUAUCCGAUGCUUACCGUUUCUGAAAAAAUGGAUCAAGUUUGGAAUGUAGUGAUGGGAACCAAGAGUUCGGUGGAUGACUUGCUGCCAAAAUCUGACAAAUUGCUUACUCAGACGCAAAGGCAAGAGAGGGCAAUUAACGAAAUUCAUGCCGAUUUAAGAUCAAAAACGAAUAAGAUUAUUGAGAAUCUGGAGGGCGUCGAGAGCCGCUUGAGAAAACAAGAGGACGAUGUGGCAACGUUAGCGCAACGUCCAAUUCCGGCUGAAUUGUUGUUAGAUCCGACAAUUGACCGGCUCGUUGAAUAUGAUCCAAGCAGAUACGUAACCGAAGAUUUUGCAACGGAGAUGCCCGCAACAUCUAUGCUGUCUACCGCGGCGCCACCCUUGUCGACUACAACAUCAAUAUCGUCUGUCGCUUCACCCUCGAACAACCCUACCAAUUCUACGACACCUAUGACGGCAACAUCUUCUUCCAAUAUUGCUAGAUCGAGUAAUAAAAAUCGGGGAGUUAUAUUUCCCAGUGUUAAGAAUAAACCAAGUUUCGCAAAUUCUACCGCCUUUACAAGCGAUGUAUUAGUCAACUAUAAGGAUGUCAAGGGUUAUUCUUGUGUGGAUUUAUUAAACGCAGGAAUGAGAGAUAGCGGAGUCUACUAUUUGCAAAUACGCGGUACGACAUAUUGGUUCCUCAAGGUUUAUUGCGAACAGGAAAUUGCCGAUGGUGGUUGGACAAUUAUUCAGAGGAGGGAUGAUUUCGGAGAGCCAAGGGAGAAUUUUAAUAGAGAUUGGGGAGAUUAUAAAAAUGGAUUUGGAGAUCCUGCUAAAGAAUUUUGGCUGGGCAAUGAAAAUAUAUACAUGUUGACAAAUAAUGAAGAUUAUAUGCUUCGAGUUGAACUUGAAGACUUCGAAGGUAACAAAAGAGGGAGAGUAUUAUAAAUUAGAGAUAGAUGGAUAUGAGGGAAAUGCUGGAGAUUCGUUAAACGAUCCUUGGUACGGAUCAAACAAUAGCCCAUUCUCCACGUAUAAUAGGGAUAAUGAUAGAUCAUCUUUGAAUUGCGCUUCGAUGCUUAAAGGUGGUUGGUGGUGGAAAUCUUGCGGACGCGGU